CUUUAAUUCGUUUUCUACAAAUUUCAGGUUAUAAUAUUAUAAAACAUUUUGAAUAUUACACAUCGAUAAAAAUGUAAAAUCCUUACGGCGAUACUAAAUUGACUGCGACGUGAUGAAUAAAUCCAUUGAAUAAAAUUUGCAACUUUUUUUGCAGGAGUAUCUGUCCAACAUGAUCUAUCAGACAUAUCUGGACCUGCCCUCAUCCGAAAUUUUCGUGAUGUUAAUCCUAAAUUAUUGAUUUGACUUGGUGGACUUAUAUCUUGAUGGCAUAUGACAGCCAUUUUGUCAGAUUUUGGAAUAUCAACAUAAUUUUCAAAAUGUUGUAAAAUUGGACUAUAUAAUUGUUUAAAGUAUGUCAACUGAGGCAGAACAAUGUUAUUAAUUUUUUCUUUAUUUUCACCAAAAGUCAUUCGAAAGUCACCAUUAUAAGAUAAGCCAGUGAUAGUUUUAUAAAAAUCAAUUUCUGUAAAAUGCUGUGGAAGUAAUAAUAAAGCUGCAUGUACUGCUGAAUGUAAAUUUUGUACUAAA